rnacentral:rRNA from 1 species
UACGGAGGAUCCAAGCGUUAUCCGGAAUCAUUGGGUUUAAAGGGUCCGUAGGCGGCCCCGUAAGUCGGUGGUGAAAUCUCCCGGCUCAACCGGGAAAUUGCCAUUGAUACUGCAGGGCUUGAAUUAUUGGGAAGUAACUAGAAUAUGUAGUGUAGCGGUGAAAUGCUUAGAUAUUACAUGGAAUACCGAUUGCGAAGGCAGGUUACUAUCAAUACAUUGACGCUGAUGGACGAAAGCGUGGGUAGCGAACAGG